GAACAUGGGGUAGGGAACAAAAAGAGGACUGGAUCGGUACCUCAGGAAUCUGUGUCCUUUCUACUGAGCUGAAAGUUGCUUGCCCGCCCCACCCCCAACCCCCCACCCCUGCACACAACCUUUUCUUGCUCUCAGUGACUAUGCUUCAACUUCACUUCCUCCUCAUCCUGACGUCCUGAGCUAAUGCCUCAAAUGUCCACUGAACUAAAAGAACAUGGCUACGCAGCACCAUCCUACACUCUUCAUAGAAGUUGGUGAUGCCCUGAAUGAAUCAUUCAGACAGGUAACAGAGAACAAAUAAAUACCUCAGAGGUGCAAUUGGUUCUUAAGUCCUCCAGCGGGACAGGGAUGGACAAGUACUGGUGGGUCUACGGAACUGGAAAUUUCACUUUGAUGGAACAACAGGUGACAGUCAGCUAUGCCAGUUCUAGAAGUUUCAGCUUCACAUGACAGCUUACUGUGUGUCUGGAACCCAGUCACUGCCAUGAAGAGACACCCUCACCUGUUUCAGUCCAUCCUUAACUGAUUAUAACUGCCAAAAAGCGAUUUCCAAAUAUGGUCAUAUUCUGAGCUGCUGGGCAGAUAUGAACUUAAGAGGAACACCAUUUAACCUGCCACACUGUUAACAGAAUGCCAAGUGGGACGUAUAUGGCGAGAAUUAUCUUGGUAUAAAAUUAUUUUGCCAUUGUAGAUGUCAAUAUGGAGGUAUCCCAAAACAAACUAACAAAAACAAUGGAUCAUCCAUAUGACCCAGCUACAGCACUCCAAGUCACAUCACUGAGACACCUGCAUAUCAAUGUUUACUGUGCCAGCAUCCAUAAAAGCUAGAAUUAACCUAGGUGUCCAAGAACAGGAAAACAGAUAAUAUAGAAUAUGUAUACCAUAAAGAAUGAAUGCAUGCUGUUUGUAGGGAAAUGAUGCAACUGGAGAUCGUAUUAAAUGCCUCAUCUCAUUAGUGGUUCCCAGAUUCUAUACAGCUAGAACCCUGCCUGUCUGCCCCUCUCUGUGCAUGCCACUCACAUGCAUUAAGGAGAAGUAAAACUAUCUAGAAAGCUCGAGGUUAAAAAGCUCCAGGGGAGUAAGAGGUGCUCACAGACUCAAAAAUCAAAAACACAAUGUACAAAAGCACUUACAAAUACUAUUUGAUGUAGAUUUACAAAGAUUAGGAAACUAUCUAUACAUAACCAUCCCUGAAACUGGGGAGCAGGGCAUGUGAGUGCCCUCCUAUCAGGAGAAGAAGUAACAGUGAGAAAGAGAAAGCAGAAUAAUGGAUGAGUCCAUCCCAACAGCUCCCCCACUCCGACCCAUCCCUGCAGGAGUGGAUCUCAGCCACCAGAGCCAAGCACAGUAAAUCAAUGACAGUUUCCAGGAGAACUGUGUACUGCUGUCAUCCUUCCUGCCGCUCCAACCUAAGGAGAUUUGUAGCCAACAUGUAUGGCUUUUCUCUCUUUUUAAAUCCAGAUUCAUUGCUUUGCUCAGUUAAAAAACAGGACAUUCUGGCACCCAAGCCACACUCAUUAAUCCAAACCGAGAGCCAAAAACCUGAACACAGCAAAGGCCACAGCUAAAUGCUAAUGUGCUUUCCCUGAGCCAUUGUACAAAAAUUAAGAACUCAACUCUUCAAUCCUAGAAACCAUUCUUUACGUCAUGAGUCUGCUGUGGAGCCACAAGGCCCUUUCGGAGAGGGAAUGUUAUGUGCACUGGGCUUGCUCCUUACUAGAACUUUCUUCCGUACAUACAAAGCCAGGAAAGGUUUUUCUACACCUUCAGCCCAAUGUUCCACUCUAAAAACAGCAGGAACUUUCAGAAAAAAACCUUUAACAUCUACAUAUUUUCUGGGCAUCAUCAGAGAAUCAAAAAGCAUUUGCAAGAAGGAACUCAUGGGAGACUUGCCUCACGUGGCUGGUUCCCCUCUGCAGUUCCUCCAGAGAUGGAGGGAGAUAGAUGCAGGCCACUCUACGCCUGAGUCAGAGCAAAUAACACAGAGUCAGCACCCAGGGUUUCCAUACAAACUCAGCCCCUCCUUCAACACUUCUUCAGUAUAUGUGAGCGCCUUUCACCAAACACCCAGCUCACAGCCUCCAUAGCCUGGCCCUUUGACCAGGAGUUUCCAUGAAGGGUCCUUUAGGAGUUGCACAGUUUUUUGCCUAUAACAGGUAUAUGAAUCUGUGGGCAGCCUUUGCUAGCUAGAAAGGCUGUGGGAAAGGUACAGAAUGGGAAGGGGGUGGAAUAAACAUAACAUCUUAAAGUUUAUGCUAGGAAACACUCAGCGAAUUUGGACAUGUUUCUGUUAGAACUUAGAAGAUGGAUGGGUGACAGCUUAGUUGAUGAAGUGCUUGCCACACAAACAAAAGGAGCACAUCAUGGUGUGUGCUUGUAUCCCAGAGCUGGGGAGGUGGGG
rnacentral:lncRNA from 1 species